GCGGGAGUAGCUCAACGGUAGAGCGGCGGCGUCAUGAGCCGCAGGGUGAGGGUUCAAAUCCUACUUCCCGUU
rnacentral:tRNA from 1 species